AUUGAACGCUGGCGGCAGGCUUAACACAUGCAAGUCGAACGGUAACAUAAAGGAGCUUGCUUCUUUGAUGACGAGUGGCGGACGGGUGAGUAAUGCUUGGGAAUCUAGCUUAUGGAGGGGGAUAACUACGGGAAACUGUAGCUAAUACCGCGUAAUAUCGAAAGAUUAAAGUGUGGGACCUUCGGGCCACAUGCCAUAAGAUGAGCCCAAGUGGGAUUAGGUAGUUGGUGAGGUAAAGGCUCACCAAGCCGACGAUCUCUAGCUGGUCUGAGAGGAUGACCAGCCACACUGGGACUGAGACACGGCCCAGACUCCUACGGGAGGCAGCAGUGGGGAAUAUUGCGCAAUGGGGGCAACCCUGACGCAGCCAUGCCGCGUGAAUGAAGAAGGCCUUCGGGUUGUAAAGUUCUUUCGGUAGCGAGGAAGGCAUUUAGUUUAAUAGACUAAGUGAUUGACGUAACUACA
rnacentral:rRNA from 1 species